rnacentral:rRNA from 1 species
CAAUAGCGUAUAUUAAAGUUGUUGCAGUUAAAAAGCUCGUAGUUGGAUUUGUGGCUGUCACGGGCGGCCUAUCACUUAGUGUUAGUGCUUGCCUGUGUCGCCAUCCUUGGGUGGAGCCCGUGUGGCAUUAGGUUGUCGUGCGGGGGAUGCCCAUCGUUUACUGUGAGAAAAUUAGAGUGUUCAAAGCAGGCUUAUGCCGUUGAAUAUGUUAGCAUGGAAUAAUAAGAUAGGACCUCGGUACUAUUUUGUUGGUUUGCGCACCGAGGUAAUGAUUAAUAGGGACAGUUGGGGGUAUUCGUAUUUCAUUGUCAGAGGUGAAAUUCUUGGAUUUCUGAAAGACGAACUACUGCGAAAGCAUUUACCAAGGAUGCUUUCAUUAA